GCUUCAUGGAUCAUCGGAUUUUCGUCCUCCAGUAUAUUAUAAAUUAUGUUAAUGAGGUUUCCACCACACAUACCAUGUAUGGUAAGGGGGGUCUCUGAUCGCGGCGUCACGAGCCUGCCAGCCAAUCAACGCGCGCCGAAUUGAACUAGGGGACGAGUUCACUUCGACGGGGAAUAACAGGGGCGUUCGCUGAAGUUCAACUCACUCGGCCACGCCGUAACUCUCUCGUCCGCUUCGACGAAGGCGCUUUGCGGCAAUCCGUCAUCACCACAAACGCCGUCGUCUUCGGCCGAGGCGGGGCGGCCGAGCGAGCGGUUUGGUCCCGGUCUCGCUGCUCGUAUCAACCUCGCCCGGCACUUGGUAUCGCCCGACCCUUGAUAAACAACACGGUGAUCUGGAGCAAACACCCCCCCCACGCUCCCCUGUCAAUGGAGGAGUGCGAGGAGGGGAGGAGGUGGUGUAGCUGUGGUGUAAAAAAAAAUGUCCCUCACGCCUAAAACAUCAUCGCUCAUGAAUCGCGGCCACUUCAAUCGACGCGUCUAGUAAACGCCGCGAGAGCUUACCGCAGCGGAGCCGACUCGAACUCUUCGCCCGAAGGAGACUGCUGCCCGGAGAUGGCGUCAACGCUGGUGGAGCAGGGCAGCCUGGCGUUAGAGCUGCCCAGCUCGGCGCCUGCGGUGGCCGCAGAGGAAAAACAGGACGGCUUCCCUGCCGUAGUGGUGGAGGCCCUGCCCACGCUAGACGGGAGUCUGUGCUACGCCGCGUACAGCGGUGGCGGCGGCGGCGGAGGAGGUGGAGGAGGUGAAGGAGGUGGAGGA